rnacentral:tRNA from 1 species
GCGGGCAUAGUUUAGUGGUAAAACAACAGUUUUCCAAACUGUGGUCGGGUGUCCGAUUCACCCUGCCCGCA